rfam:Astyanax mexicanus chromosome 1, whole genome shotgun sequence.
CUGUAUUCUACAGUGCAUGUGUCUCCAGUGUGUCUAUGCUACUGGAGAUGCAGCCCUGUUGGAAUAAC